GACGAACGCUGGCGGCGUGCCUAACACAUGCAAGUCGAACGAAGUGGCGAACGGGUGAGUAACGCGUAAUAAACCUGCCCUUCAGAGGGGGACAACAGUUGGAAACGACUGCUAAUACCGCAUACUGAAGGAGGGGAUUGCGUCUGAGUGGCUAGUUGGAGGGGUAACGGCCCACCAAGGCGAUGAUCAGUAGCCGGGCGGAUAGGAUGAACGGCCAAAUUGGGACUGAGACACGGCCCAGACUCCUACGGGAGGCAGCAGUGGGGAAUCUUCCGAAAUGGAAGAAAGUCUGACGGAGCAACGCCGGGUGAGUGAGGACGGCCUUCGGGUUGGAAAGCUCUGUUAAUCGGGACGCGGUACCGGAAUAGAAAGCCACGGCUAACUACGUGCCAGCCGCCGCGGUAAUAC
rnacentral:rRNA from 1 species